rnacentral:rRNA from 1 species
GACGAACGCUGGCGGCGUGCUUAACACAUGCAAGUCGAACGGAAAGGCCCUGCUUUUGUGGGGUGCUCGAGUGGCGAACGGGUGAGUAACACGUGAGUAACCUGCCCUUGACUUUGGGAUAACUUCAGGAAACUGGGGCUAAUACCGGAUAGGAGCUCCUGCUGCAUGGUGGGGGUUGGAAAGUUUCGGCGGCUGGGGAUGGACUCGCGGCUUAUCAGCUUGUUGGUGGGGUAGUGGCUUACCAAGGCUUUGACGGGUAGCCGGCCUGAGAGGGUGACCGGCCACAUUGGGACUGAGAUACGGCCCAGACUCCUACGGGAGGCAGCAGUGGGGAAUAUUGCACAAUGGGCGGAAGCCUGAUGCAGCAACGCCGCGUGCGGGAUGACGGCCUUCGGGUUGUAAACCGCUUUCGCCUGUGACGAAGCGUGAGUGACGGUAAUGGGUAAAGAAGCACCGGCUAACUACGUGCCAGCAGCCGCGGUGAUACGUAGGGUGCGAGCGUUGUCCGGAUUUAUUGGGCGUAAAGGGCUCGUAGGUGGUUGAUCGCGUCGGAAGUGUAAUCUUGGGGCUUAACCCUGAGCGUGCUUUCGAUACGGGUUGACUUGAGGAAGGUAGGGGAGAAUGGAAUUCCUGGUGGAGCGGUGGAAUGCGCAGAUAUCAGGAGGAACACCAGUGGCGAAGGCGGUUCUCUGGGCCUUUCCUGACGCUGAGGAGCGAAAGCGUGGGGAGCGAACAGGCUUAGAUACCCUGGUAGUCCACGCUGUAAACGGUGGGUACUAGGUGUGGGGUCCAUUCCACGGGUUCCGUGCCGUAGCUAACGCUUUAAGUACCCCGCCUGGGGAGUACGGCCGCAAGGCUAAAACUCAAAGGAAUUGACGGGGCCCCGCACAAGCGGCGGAGCAUGCGGGUUAAUUCGAUGCAACGCGUAGAACCUUACCUGGGUUUGACAUGGAUCGGGAGUGCUCAGAGAUGGGUGUGCCUCUUUUGGGGUCGGUUCACAGGUGGUGCAUGGCUGUCGUCAGCUCGUGUCGUGAGACGUUGGGUUAAGUCCCGCAACGAGCGCAACCCUUGUUCACUGUUGCCAGCACGUUAUGGUGGGGACUCAGUGGAGACCGCCGGGGUCAACUCGGAGGAAGGUGGGGAUGACGUCAAGUCAUCAUGCCCCUUAUGUCCAGGGCUUCACGCAUGCUACAAUGGCUGGUACAGAGAGUGGCGAGCCUGUGAGGGUGAGCGAAUCUCGGAAAGCCGGUCUCAGUUCGGAUUGGGGUCUGCAACUCGACCUCAUGAAGUCGGAGUCGCUAGUAAUCGCAGAUCAGCAACGCUGCGGUGAAUAAGUUCCCGGGGCU